GUUAAGCUGUGAGGUCAAAAUCGAUUUAUUUUUUAUAAAUACUAAUAAUAACAAUCUAAAUUUAUCAUAAAACUAAGAACGACAUUAUGAAAUCUAAAUGUCAUUGUGGAAAAAGACACUGUAAAAACGUAUUUGUGAAAAACGCUUUUCAUCUCGAAAAUAUCAUUGUCCUGAAAAAUGACAUGAUGAAAUAAAAGGGCUAUUGUGGAAAAAGGGUAUUAUGAAAUUAAAAAGAAUUACUUGUGAAAAAUGCUUUUAUCUUAAAAUAAUAAAAUCUUUUUUUUAUAAUAAUAUCACCUUAUUUUACAAUUUAAGGGCCAUAUUACACAAUUUGUCUGUUAUUUGUCAAAAUACAGUUCACUUGCUUUCCUAAAUACUUUUAGUAUAAUUUAUACAAUUUAUAUGGAUCAUAAUUACUACUUACAAAAGUAGUUUUUUAUCGUGUACCUCGGAAACUUUUGACCUUUUUGUGGUUCCAUACAAAAUAGGUUAUUGUUACUGUAAAAUAUUUGAAACACUUAUUUACUUAGUAAAAUUAAUUUGGGAGAAGGAGAAAAUGGCUACAAGUGCUCCCAUCACAUACCAGAGGUCCAAAGGAGGUGGGGUUCAAGUCAAAAUCGAGAUCAAAGAGCAUGACGUGUUAAGACCGGAAGUGUCUUUGGUCUUUGAUGUCACCUGCAGCAUCACCUACACCUUAAGCAUCCAGCAGAUGCUUACGCUACUUAUCUGGAGACACACGACUCACUUGGACAAACCUUUGUACCACGGAACACCUCAAAUCUCCACUUUUUGCCCACACUGAAAGCCUCGGAGUUAAGUUUGAUGAACUAAUAGUUACAGGGCUGUCACCAGACUUGCAGGGGCCCGGGGACAAGAGACCAUUAUAGCCCCCCACCCCACCCCGCCCCUGCAACCGGCUUGUCAUGACAACAUACGCAGUGCUUUAACACUUUGCAAGCAAUGACAGUGUAAGUUAUCAAAUCAUUUAAUUUGAGAUGGACAGUUAAAUUUAUCAGAUAGUAAUGUGAUGUGACACAAUAUAAACAAACAAUUUCUAUCUAUUGUCCCAUGUAGGCUGCAAUACAAUACAACUGAGGGUGUUAUGCCUGCCUGCUAAGCAACAAAACAGCAUAAAUAAACAUCAUGUGCCUGCCCCUCCAUAUCCCUGGGGUUAUCAAGCCCUCAAACAGUGAUGCGCCUAGAUUUUUUGGCAGCAAAGUCAUAACAUCCAUGAAAUCCAGUUUUUGAGCAUGGUCACGCUCAAUGGAGAGCAUGGUGUUACCGGCAUCCCCAAGGGGCCGCUGUCCCCUACAAUAUGACCGGCUUUACCGGAGUCCUUCAAGGUGUGGGAUUCAAAGAUACCAUUCAGGAUGGGGAAAAAUAGACAUCUCUUCCUCUUGAAGACGUCCUUGAUGGUCUUCAAGGUAGUCAAGGAGGACAAGGGGAAGAGCAGCAGAUCAGUUGACUUCAUCUAACGCUGUCCUCUGCAUCCUCGGCAUCCUUCACAUCCUCUAACUACAUCCAUCAACGUCCUCUUUGGUCGUCCUCUAGACCUCCUGCCUGGCAUAUGGAAAUCCAGCUUCCUUUUGCCAAUAUACUCACUAUUACAUUCCCAAACCAUAUCAGUCUGGCCUCUCUGACUUUCUUGUCAAAUUCUCUAACUGUCCCUCUGAUAUGCUCAUUUUCAAUAAAGCUGUUCAUUCCAAUUCUUCCUUAGAUAGUCGAGAUAAAGCUGACAGAGCACCAGAAGGGAGACUCCCGCAAGUUUGCUUUUUCGUUUGGCCAUACCUGGACAUUGAGCAAGAUUGUUCUAAAGGAAUGGAAAACAUCAUGAAGAUAAAGGUGAAAUACAGUGAAAUAGAGGGGCCAGUAGGAAAGAUUGAGGCCCGCUACAUUGGAGGACCCUGGCUAUUACCUGGAUCAAAGAAAAGUGGGGUUCUCAAAGUAUCUCAUACAAAUUAUAUGACAUACAAAUAGGAACUUGCAUGAACUUGCACACCUUGACAAGAACCUCGUAAAAAGAAAAAAAACAGCUUCGGACUAUUUAAAAAAGUCAAGUUUUAAUAUAUGUACACUACUGUUCAAAAGUUUGGGGCGACCCCAAACUUUUGAACCGAAGUGUACAUAAUGGAAAAUCCCAUAUGAUUCACUACGGUUCGAAAGUUUGGGGUCGCUUUGACCCUAAACUUUUGAACUGUAGUGUACAUACUGUAAAUGAUUUUUGUAGUUUGUGUAUACUUAAAAAAAAAGAUUUCUUGUAUAU